rnacentral:rRNA from 1 species
AUUGAACGCUGGCGGCAGGCCUAACACAUGCAAGUCGGACGAGCGGCGGACGGGUGAGUAAUGUAUGGGGAUCUGCCUGAUGGCGGGGGAUAACUACUGGAAACGGUAGCUAAUACCGCAUACCAUCAGAUGAACCCAUAUGGGAUUAGCUGGUAGGUAAGGUAACGGCUUACCUAGGCGACGAUCCCUAGCUGGUCUGAGAGGAUGAUCAGCCACGCUGGGACUGGGACACGGCCCAGACUCCUACGGGAGGCAGCUGUGGGGAAUAUUGCACAAUGGGCGCAAGCCUGAUGCAGCCAUGCCGCGUGUAUUAAGAAGGCCUUCGGGUUGUAAAGUACUUUCAGUCGGGAGGCGUUACCGACAGAAGAAGCACCGGCUAACUCCGUGCCAGCAGCCGCGGUAAUUC